GGGGGUGUAGCUCAGGGGUAGAGCGUUUGACUGCAGAUCAAGAGGUCCCCGGUUCAAAUCCGGGCGCCCCCU
rnacentral:tRNA from 2 species